rnacentral:misc_RNA from 1 species
GAUGAAGAACGCAGCGAAAUGCGAUAAGUAAUGUGAAUUGCAGAAUUCAGUGAAUCAUCGAAUCUUUGAACGCACAUUGCGCCCGCCAGUAUUCUGGCGGGCAUGCCUGUUCGAGCGUCAUUUCAACCAUCAAGCCCUGCUUGCGUUGGGGUCCUGCGGCUGCCCGCAGGCCCUGAAAACCAGUGGCGGGCUCGCUAGUCACACCGAGCGCAGUAAUACAUCUCGCUUUGGGCGUGCGGCGGGUUCUUGCCGUUAAACACCCCCUUUUUUCCAAGGUUGACCUCGGAUCAGGUAGGAAUACCCGCUGAACUUAAGCAUAUCAAUAAGCGGAGGA